UCUGCUUCCUCACCGCUGCGGGCUCCAGGACGGAGCCCUGGCGUGUAAGUGUCCUUCUCGGCACAGUCCAAUCCCCGAUCCAGACUGUCCUCUAUUAGAUCCUGCCUGGUGUCGUUGGCUGUCUGCUGGUUGUUGUUUUUAUCCAUUUCAGCCAUGGCUCCACACUCCUCUCCGCCCGGCUGUGCCAGCUGCGCCUGUCUGGCGGAAAAGAUCCAGAAGCUGGAACAAAGGAUCUCCACACUCUACCAGAUCCAGGAAGCCGAGAAACUCAUGGACACCAUCGUCUUCAGAACAUCACAUCCCGACUCCACCGGCUCGUCGGAUCCGGACCCCGCCGCUCCCAACACCUCUCCCCCGGCUGCUGCGACCACCUCUCCUCUGCCUGCUCAUCCAUCCUUCUUCCCCGAGGUCUCCUCGACAAGGCUGGGAGCAAAACCCAAGGCUAAUCCAGAGCCUCCAGCUAGCUCCACUCCAUCCCUGCAGGAGCGCUGGUCCCACAUCACCGCCCGCACCAGGAAAUCAAAGCUCCCACCUCAGGCUCCCCUCUUCCAACUCCACCUGGAGAACAGGUUUGACACCCUGGACCUCCAUGACUCCCCCCCGCUGCCCGCGGGAUCCCAGCCGAUGUCCACCCGGCUAUCCCAUGGGUCCUGCGGUCCUCCGCCUCCCGUGCCCGACC